rnacentral:rRNA from 1 species
GAUGAACGCUAGCGGCGUGCUUAACACAUGCAAGUCGAACGGAAAGGCCAGUGCUUGCACUGGUACUCGAGUGGCGAACGGGUGAGUAACACGUGGGUGAUCUGCCCUGCACUUCGGGAUAAGCCUGGGAAACUGGGUCUAAUACCGGAUAGGACAAUGGUUUGGAUGCCGUUGUGGAAAGUUUUUUCGGUGUGGGAUGAGCUCGCGGCCUAUCAGCUUGUUGGUGGGGUAAUGGCCUACCAAGGCGUCGACGGGUAGCCGGCCUGAGAGGGUGUACGGCCACAUUGGGACUGAGAUACGGCCCAGACUCCUACGGGAGGCAGCAGUGGGGAAUAUUGCACAAUGGGCGCAAGCCUGAUGCAGCGACGCCGCGUGGGGGAUGACGGCUUUCGGGUUGUAAACUCCUUUCGCUAGGGACGAAGCGUAUUUGUGACGGUACCUGGAGAAGAAGCACCGGCUAACUACGUG